CCAUCUAUUAUCUAUCUAUCUAUCUAUCUAUCUAUCUAUCUAUCUAUCUAUCUAUCUAUCAUCUAUCUUUCACACACAUCCAUCCUUAUGGCUGCUUUACAUAUUAUCUCUAGAUCCUUCUCUAUCUCAGCCUUAUGCAGUCAUCAGGAAGAACCUUCUAGAAGCUCUCUAGAACAGGGAGGGUAUGCUACAGGAAUGUUCUCCCAUUCAAUACUCUUUAUACUCAUGUCUCUUUAUACUCAUGUCUCUUUAUACUCACUCUGUCAUAUUUAUGGUCAUCUAAGUGCCCACGCGCCACUAAACUGCCUUGUUCUCCAAUUACUUCUUGCCCAUAAAUCUUCUCACCCUGGUUAUAAGUUCUUCUGGAGGUCUGCACUGCACGUUGUCUUGCGUCCACCAUAGCUGGUUCCUCCAUGGAGAGGUACCCUAUUACUCUUGGGACCAUGAAGAAGCCAACAGCUUGUAGACCUACAGAGGAUCCAUCAUCACCAAGCCUGUAGCUCUACUUGUCCUAUCCAAAUGAGACAGCUUGGUGCAUUGGAAAGGAGAGACAAAUGGAAACUUACCCACAUUGCCGAGAGAAGCAGCUGGGAUGAGCAAGAAGACAGUCCUAGACAAACUUAUGGUAAAAAACUUAAUAUUAAAAACUGUUUAUUGUAAAUAGAUAACUUCACAACAUUGGAGUAGUCAGAAAGGUACCUGUAAAAUGUUACUAACAAAACAAAUGCUGUUCAGACUACUUUUAGGCAAGACAAUAAAACUCCAAUUCUCAAUACAAAAAAAGAAAAAAGAAAAAGGAAAAGAAAAGAAAAGAAAAGAAAAGAAAAAAAGAAAGGAGAGACAAUAAUAUGGUUGACUUCCUUCAUCCUGAAAUAGACCCAAGGUUCUGAGAAAACUUACUGAACCCUCUGGAAAGCCUUGCUCUAAGUCUGCAUUAAGAUGCACAUGGCUGCAUGUCUGUCAGUCAACACUAUUUUCAGAAAACUCUAUUAUAAUCCACUGUUCACCCUGUGUUGCAGCAGGGUCUAGCUAGCAUGUGGUUAAGCCUGCAUUUGAUAACCACCUGGAUAAUAUGGUCAAUAAAAAUAAUCAAUACAGUCACCUCCCGGUGCCUCACUUCUUAUUAGAAGAAGAAAGUGACAAGGACUCUGCCACAAUGACUGAAUCAACUGGAAGCACUGUUUGCACUGUUACAGAGCUGUCAAUCAGACACGCACAUCUGACCACCUCAGAUCUCAAGAGUUCCACGGGAUACCUUGAUUCUCAGCACUUCCUGGCUCCAGCAGAGCGCUCUACAAAGCCAGCAUUUGUCUCCACCGUUUUGAAGUCUGCUCCACAGGAGACUUCACCGAAGGAAGAGGCAGACAGCAUGGCUGCUUCCCCAUGAGGCUUCCUCUGACCCCAGCAAAAACAUGGAAGCAUCAAGGAGGAGAUUCUCUAUGAAGGAAAUGAUGACUUUAGGAAUUGGGAAUUCACCAAAGUUGUCAAAUUUCAAACCCCAGAAAUUUCCAUGUAAAUAUCACACUCCAUUUCCUAUUCAGUCUAAGAGGAAAUGUGUGGUGUUUAAUUCUGGGCAUCUGGAGAGAGGAACAGCCCUGUCUGGGACAUGAGGAGAAAACAGGUAGAAUUCCCUCCCAUGUCCUGAUUCAACCCUGGUCUCUUUACACUCUGAUAAAUGACAGGAGAGGAUAACAAAGGUCAUCAAAUGGUCCAAUUAUAAGCACUGUCCUUGCUGUGUUCUAGAUUUGGAGCCAAUCAGCUCACUCUCCCGUGCCCAGACUACAUCCCAUUUAUGUAGAAAUCUGAAACACAUCUCAACCUGAGUAGUGCCCAGAAAGACAAUUCCCUUAAUGACCACUGAGUCUGAGGAUGGCCAUGUUCCUUGAGAACUGUUAACAAAGAGCCAAGUCAGAAAGGAGGUCUUCCGUGAUGAGCUAGGCAGAAAAGCCUGUUUCCUUAUCAUUGCUAGUGGGCUCAAGAAUAAACUGAGAGCUAGUUUGGAGGUCAUUCACGGACUCUGCCAUCCACCUCUUCAUUCAUCCAGUGGUCAUUGGAUGCUAAACAAAGAACAGCCACCCACCCAGCGCACCAUUCUGGAGUCCCUAACAGCAGCUUUCCCCAAGUUGAAAAAAAGCCAUUUGUUCUUAGGAAGAGUGACCACAAUAAAUGGUUUUAGUCUUGAGGGGGUUGUUGUGUCCUCAUUGCCUGAAGUGCUUUUGUCAAAGACUGAGUGGGCUCAAGGAAUCCACAGGGGACUGGUAGUGACCCACUCAGGGUUCCUGCCCCUCAGGAAAUCCAAUACACCACCAAAGAAGUGCAGUGAUGCUCUCUGCCUUGUGUGCGUCACUCAUCCUGUCUUGCACCUCAUCAUGUUGAAGCAGUGACCCCCAAAUAGCAAAUGGACAGCAGGUUAUGAAAUAGCAGUUGCUCAGGUGAUGUCCUCUAUGUCACCAACUAUUCACUUGAACUCUUGAUUCCUAGAAGCAGGUUGCUUCAUAUGGUGGGAAUAGCAUUUGUGAGAAUGAUCUGGAAGAUGCUCAGCCCCCACCGUGUUGCCCUUGUCUCAUGCGUCUCAUGCUCCCACCCCUGCCCUGUGUGACCUUGUUAUUAGUACUACUGCCCGCUUGCCAGUGACUUGAUAGAUGAGUGUUGUAGUCCACAACCACACUGAGAAGCUGGGGAGGAAAAGGUUUGAAAUAUUUGGAAGGGAGAGGAGGCACUGUGCUUUGUCAUGGCCGACUGACUCUGUGUGAGCGUGACUAAAGGUCUACGUGCCGAAGACAAACGACUGAACGUGUUAUACCUGUCAAAGUAAGCAGCUCUUUGGAUCGGAGUGUUGAACAGAAGUCCUGGAGUACACAGACCAACGUUCUAUGAGGUCCUCCUACAUGGAGGGUGUCAUUCCCAAGCCUGGUACAGCCUUGCUUCUUUUCUGUCUCUCUGAACGGGGAGGGAAGACCAUCAGCCACAGACAGCAGCGGCAGAAGCAGCCUGCCAGCAGAUCUCAUGGCCCUUACAAAGGUCACAGCAGCCUGGCAUGUGACCUUUGAUGUCCCCUCCACACCUAACUUAAUGUCUACUGAGGACAUGUAAAGUCUCAGCGUUUGAGCAAUACCAAAACCAACCAACGGGGAGAUUCAUAGCAGCCACUACAUAAUCACCCCCAGCUGAGUGGACCUCUCUCUCCUCCUUGGUGCUGACACUUCCUGCUGAUCCCUUCAUGAAUACAGUUCCUUUCACUUCCUAAGCGGACUCAGAACCUGGAAAGGGCUCUCCUCUUGUCACUGUGACUGAAUAACUAACAAGAACCGGCUUGAGAGAAGCAGGAUGGAUUUUCACUCUGAGCACCCAAGUAAAACGUGUUGGGAUCACGCACUUCCUUCCCCAGAAUUUGGUGGCCUAGACAAGCAGAAUUCAGAUGUGGUAUCUGCUGCCCAUGAGUGAAGCCUCAGGGUGUGGCCAAGAGCUGGCAGAAGAGAUGGUCACUACUCAUCCACCCUUGUAACAAGUUCUCUCAAUAUGGCGUUGUCUCAUAAAAUCAGGCCAGGCAAAGAUGAAAGCGGGCAUAUGCCCUGUACAUCCUACUUGGAUCUGGAGUGUAUUAGAUGAUUUGCCAGCCUGCUCUGCCUUGCUCUCACUGGGGUACCAUUGAGUGGAUCCGUUACUGACACCUAAAGCGGCAGAGAGACUUCGGAGACAAUCAUGGGCCACUGAUAAACACUGUAUUAAUCACUUUUCUGUUGCUAUGAUAAAAUACUGUGAUUGAAAACAACUUAAAGAGGAAAAUGUUUAUUUUUUG